UAGAGCGGCGGACGGGUGAGUAACACGUGGACAAUCUGCCCCCCGGCCCGGGAUAGCCCAGGGAAACCUGGAUUAAUACCGGAUGAGACGGGACCCGCGAUGGCGGGACCCGGGAAAGGCGCUGCGGCGUCCGCCGGGGGAUGAGUCUGCGUCCCAUUAGCUAGACGGCGGGGUAACGGCCCACCGUGGCGACGAUGGGUAGCCGGCCUGAGAGGGUGGACGGCCACAUUGGAACUGAGACACGGUCCAGACUCCUACGGGAGGCAGCAGCUAAGAAUCUUCCGCAAUGGGCGAAAGCCUGACGGAGCGACGCCGCGUGAACGAAGAAGGCCGUGAGGUUGUAAAGUUCUUUUCGGGAGGGGGAACAACCGUGGCAGGGAAUGGCCGCGGGAUGACGUGAAUCCCGGAAUAAGCCCCGGCUAACUACGUGCCAGCAGCAGC
rnacentral:rRNA from 1 species